rnacentral:misc_RNA from 1 species
UUUCAGAUCCCUUUUGGGGUUAAUUUCAUUUGAGAUGUCUCUUGAUUCAAGUUCAGCUGAUCAUGGUGGGCACAGUAACAUAAGAGGGGUUCCAACUCAUGGGGGUCGUUAUGUUCAGUAUAAUGUGCACGGCUCUCUGUUUGAAGUUUCAAGAAAAUAUGUUCCUCCUAUCAGACCUAUUGGUCGUGGAGCUAAUGGAAUGGUUUGUGCUGCUGUGAACUCGGAGACACGUGAGGAAGUAGCUAUUAAGAAGAUUGGCAAUGCCUUUGAUAAUAGAAUAGAUGCAAAAAGGACACUACGAGAGAUAAAGCUUCUUCGUCACAUGGAUCAUGACAAUGUGAUUGCCAUUAG